rnacentral:tRNA from 1 species
CUGACUGUGGUGUAGCCUGGUCAACAUACGUGCGUUGGAAGCACGGGAGCGCUGGUUCAAAUCCAGCCAGUCAGA